GAUGAACGCUGGCGGCGUGCCUAAUACAUGCAAGUCGAGCGAACGGACGAGAAGCUUGCUUCUCUGAUGUUAGCGGCGGACGGGUGAGUAACACGUGGAUAACCUACCUAUAAGACUGGGAUAACUUCGGGAAACCGUAGCUAAUACCGGAUAAUAUUUUGAACCGCAUGGUUCAAAAGUGAAAGACGGUCUUGCUGUCACUUAUAGAUGGAUCCGCGCUGCAUUAGCUAGUUGGUAAGGUAACGGCUUACCAAGGCAACGAUGCAUAGCCGACCUGAGAGGGGGGGCGCCACCAGUGAAACGGAGACAGGGUCCAGACCCCGAGGGAGGGCAGCAGAGGGGAAUUCUCCGAAAUGGGCAAAAGCCGGAGGGAGCACCGCGGGGUGAGUGAUGAAGUUCUUGGGAUAGAAAACCUGUUUUAUGGGGAAAAAAAAUAUGUGAACGAAACUGUGCACUUCUGGAGGGAACUUAAUAAGAAGGCCAGGCCAAACUCGGGC
rnacentral:rRNA from 1 species